UCUUCACCCUCUUGCUUCCCAGGAUGCCAUGAGAUGAGUAGACUCCUCUACUACAUAUUUUCACCAUGGUGUGCUGUGCCACUCCAAUUUCAAAGCAAUAGGACUGAGUUGGGAGUGGGAAGAGACUUCUGAGACCAGGAGCCACAGUAAGCCUGUCCUCCUUACCAGCUUGCUAUCUCAGCCCACCUACUGCCUCAUAUGGCACAGUGUGCUGAACCAUUCUAUGCCUACAUGUCUGCAAGUGCCAAGUGACACUCCAAACCUCAAAUGCUCCAUAAAGAAGGCCUCCCAAGUCCUUCAUGUACCCUUACAGGUCCAACCAUGCAGUCCACCUCACCUCAAAGAAGGUGAUGGCUGCAAGCUCCCACCACCAGAAUGGACCUACCCAGCUGCCACACCCCAUGGAAUGUACUGCCUGCGAGCCAAAAUAAAUCUGAAGUAUUUUGU